GGGGACAUAGUUUAAUUGGUAAAACUGCGAUUUUGCAUAUCGCUAUCUCAGGAUCGUUACCUGAUGUCUCCA
rnacentral:tRNA from 1 species